AUGUGGUGGGCCUUGGAGAAACACAAAGUCCCAGCAAAGUACAUUACCCUCAUCAAGGACAUGUACAAUAAUAUUGUGACAAGUGUUCGAACAAGUGAUGUCGACACCGAUGACUUCCCGAUUAAGAUAGGACUGCAUCAGGGGUCAGCUUUGAGCCCUUAUCUUUUUGCAUUGGUGAUGGAUGAGGUCACAAGGGGUAUACAAGGAGAUAUCCCAUGGUGUAUGCUCUUUGCGGAUGAUGUGGUGCUAGUUGACGAUAGUCGGACGGGGGUAAAUAGGAAGUUAGAGUUAUGGAGACAAACCUUGGAAUCGAAAGGGUUUAGGCUUAGUAGAACUAAAACCGAGUAUAUGAUGUGCGGUUUCAGUACUACUAGCUGUGAGGAGGAGGAGGUUAGCCUUGAUGGCCAGGUGGUACCUCGGAAGGACACCUUUCGGUAUUUGGGGUCAAUGUUGCAGGAGGAUGGGGGUAUUGAUGAAGAUGUGAACCAUCGAAUCAAAGCCGGAUGGAUGAAGUGGCGCCAAGCUUCUGGCAUUCUCUGUGACAAGAGAGUGCCACAAAAGCUAAAAGGCAAGUUCUACAGGACGGCGGUUCGACCCGCAAUGUUGUAUGGCGCGGAGUGUUGGCCGACUAAAAGGCGACAUGUUCAACAGUUAGGUGUGGUGGAGAUGCGUAUGUUGAGAUGGAUGUGUGGCCACACGAGGAAGGAUCGAGUCCGGAAUGAUGAUAUACGAGAUAGAGUUGGGGUAGCACCAAUUGAGGAGAAGCUUGUCCAACAUCGUUUGAGAUGGUUUGGGCAUAUUCAGCGCAGGCCUUCAGAAGCUCCAGUGCAUAGCGGACGGCUAAAGCGUGCGGAGAAUGUCAAGAGAGGGCGGGGUCGACCGAUUUUGACAUGGGAGGAGUCCGUUAAGAGAGACCUGAAGGAUUGGAGUAUCGACAAAGAGCUAGCUAUGGACUGGGGUGCGUGGAAGCUUGCUAUCCAUGUGCCAGAGCCAUGA
rnacentral:rRNA from 1 species